GCCCAUGAGGCUUCAAAGGCGAUUUGAUUUUACAAUAGCAAAAAUUGACAAUUCGAGAAAAAUAAGUGAAAGAAUCUAAUUGGAAACCCUCUAUGAUCUCCUUUUCCCUCUACAACUCUCCCCUUCUUCCUCGGAUUUCUUCUUCUUCACCUGUAGCUUAAUUGAAGCUUUCUUCUUCUUCACUUGUGGCUUGAUUAGAGAUUUCUUCUUCUCUACUCAUGGUUUGAUUGAGGAUUUUUUUUUCUCUAUCCAUGGCU
rnacentral:lncRNA from 1 species